ACAUGUCUUUUUAGUACUUAAUAUAAAGUCUAACCUGCCCACUGAAUAUUUUUAAAGGGCCGCAGUAUUUUGACUGUGCAAAGGUAGCAUAAUCAUUAGUCUUUUAAUUGAGGGCUGGUAUGAAUGGUUGGAUGAGGUACAAACUGUGUCAUAAAAAAUUAAUAUUUGAAUUUAACUUUUUAGUCAAAAGGCUAAAAUAAAAUUAAAAGACGAGAAGACCCUAUAGAGCUUUAUAUAAUAAAUGUUUAAAUUAUUAAGAUUUAUUAAAUUUAAUUUUUAUAUUAUAUUUUGUUGGGGUGACAAUAAAAUUUAUAAAACUUUUAUUUUUAUAUUACAUAAAUUAAUGAUUAUAUGAUCCAGUUUUAUUGAUUAUAAAUUUAAGUUACCUUAGGGAUAACAGCGUAAUUUUUUUUGAGAGUUCUUAUCGACAAAAAUGAUUGCGACCUCGAUGUUGGAUUAAGAGUAAUUUUGGGUGUAGAAGUUCAAAAUUUAAGUCUGUUCGACUUUUAAAUUCUUACAUGAUC
rnacentral:rRNA from 1 species